GCAACGGGAACGUAUGUUCUCGCGAUAUUUAGAGAUGAACGUACCGCACGUAGCGAGGCUGGAAACGCGAUCUAGCUAGGUUUGAAUUAACGUCUAUUUUUGAAGAAGCUUUGAAAACCUCGCGAAAUAAAUUCAUAUCUGAAGGACCGAUCCCACUACCUCAUAUCUAAGAAAUCACCAUGGAAGGCUGUCAAAUGUCCUGCUCGUUUUUUGGGUGCAAGAGGACCUACAACAGUCCAGAAGCACUGAAUAGUCAUCUACAGGAUCAUCAAAAGAACACUGCCCAGUCUCUUCCAGGGAAAACUUUCCUGUGCUCUCAUAUAGGAUGCGAUGGUUCAUUCAACAACAUGCAACAGCUCAUGGAACAUAUGAGACACCAUUACAAGCCAAAUUAUUUUUUCCUGUGCGAAAGCUGCAGGGCCAAACUGCGUUCUUAUCGCACUCUCCUCAAACACCUGCAGACCUGUGCCAAGGUUGCUAAGAACAAGGCUGCAGUAAAGAUAGAGACUGGAAUGGCACCUGACGCAGAGCCCGCCAGUGUUCCUCUCACUUCUGGUGACAUGGAACCAUCUGGACCCCUCUUAUCCGCCAAUGUGCCAGAGGAGAUGGAGUCUAUGCCAUCUAUGCCCACUUUGGCAACACAUCCAACACUGGCAAACAUGUCAGAAAACAGUGCUUUCACUAACCCAACCCCUCCAGGCCCUGCAACUUUGCUCCUUGCCACUCUAAAUCUCGCCUCAAACCAAAAUCUUCCUUGCAAACCAGAAUCCCCCUACAGCCCUUUUCCACCCACUCUGUCUCCUGUUAACCCAGUCUUCCUGCCAGAUCCGGGCCUACAGCAGCAGCAGAGAUCUCCCAGGUCUGGUCCUCCCAGUCUGCCCUCUUCACCACCCCUGCCGUCAUCGCCAGGAUCAAACGCUGUCUGGAGGAAGAACCAAGAACCGCCCGGGCCCCUUUUGCACAGAUGGAACUCUCCAAGCAGUCAGAGUUUAAGUAGAGAUGAAGUCCAGGUCAGUCCUUCAACUGCCGCAUCCUGUGGGAACACACAAGAGGGCGAUACAGCUGCCUACAGUGUGGCCACUGCACCCCAGACCGGGGGGAGAUGACUGCUCACAUUGACAGCCAGCACAAGAACCCGGGGGGCAAAGUGAACGGUGAUCCUGAUUCAGAGAAUGGCACUGCUUCUUUACUGGCUAAGACUUCACUGCACACUGAGAACUCAACUUAUACACAACUCUAGCAUGAAAUCAGACAUGAAAACUGAUGAUUGACAAAUAACUUUUCUUAAAGCUUUUUAUAUAUGCAACUCAAUUUUUUCAUUUGAGUCUGUGUGGACUUCAAGAAUCUCUAUUGGUCUGGAUGUUAUAAUAACAAUUAGCACUAAAUUCUGCAUGUCUUUGUCAGUAAUCUAGGCUUACAAAAAGUCUUGUUAGUUUUCAUUAAAUAAUUUGAAAUUGCAUAAAAAUAACUAGUAAUGUUGUACCAUUAUGUUACUAAGGUUUUUUUUUUCAUACCUAUUUGCAGGAGGCUGUAUCCAUACAGUAUCCAGAACAGUUGUCAUGUUUAUAAAAAUAAAUCUUGGCCACUUGUUAUUGUGUAAGAAUAAAAAAAACAGUUGUUUCUGUGGUGUUUACUACCUGCAAAUAAAACAUGUUAGGACAUUUUUU